ACUGAUUUGAAGAGCUUGCUCAGAUAUGACGAUGAACAUUGCAAAGAGUGGCGAACGGGUGAGUAACACGUGGGAAACCUACCUCUUAGCAGGGGAUAACAUUUGGAAACAGAUGCUAAUACCGUAUAACAAUGACAACCGCAUGGUUGUUAUUUAAAAGAUGGUUCUGCUAUCACUAAGAGAUGGUCCCGCGGUGCAUUAGCUAGUUGGUAAGGUAAUGGCUUACCAAGGCGAUGAUGCAUAGCCGAGUUGAGAGACUGAUCGGCCACAAUGGGACUGAGACACGGCCCAUACUCCUACGGGAGGCAGCAGUAGGGAAUCUUCCACAAUGGGCGAAAGCCUGAUGGAGCAACGCCGCGUGUGUGAUGAAGGGUUUCGGCUCGUAAAACACUGUUGUAAGAGAAGAAUGACAUUGAGAGUAACUGUUCAAUGUGUGACGGUAUCUUACCAGAAAGGAACGGCUAAAUACGUGCCAGCAGCCGCGGUAAUACGUAUGUUCCAAGCGUUAUCCGGAUUUAUUGGGCGUAAAGCGAGCGCAGACGGUUAUUUAAGUCUGAAGUGAAAGCCCUCAGCUCAACUGAGGAAUUGCUUUGGAAACUGGAUGACUUGAGUGCAGUAGAGGAAAGUGGAACUCCAUGUGUAGCGGUGAAAUGCGUAGAUAUAUGGAAGAACACCAGUGGCGAAGGCGGCUUUCUGGACUGUAACUGACGUUGAGGCUCGAAAGUGUGGGUAGCAAACAGGAUUAGAUACCCUGGUAGUCCACACCGUAAACGAUGAGUGCUAGGUGUUUGAGGGUUUCCGCCCUUAAGUGCCGCAGCUAACGCAUUAAGCACUCCGCCUGGGGAGUACGACCGCAAGGUUGAAACUCAAAGGAAUUGACGGGGACCCGCACAAGCGGUGGAGCAUGUGGUUUAAUUCGAAGCAACGCGAAGAACCUUACCAGGUCUUGACAUCCCUUGACAACUCCAGAGAUGGAGCGUUCCCUUCGGGGACAAGGUGACAGGUGGUGCAUGGUUGUCGUCAGCUCGUGUCGUGAGAUGUUGGGUUAAGUCCCGCAACGAGCGCAACCCUUAUUACUAGUUGCCAGCAUUCAGUUGGGCACUCUAGUGAGACUGCCGGUGACAAACCGGAGGAAGGUGGGGAUGACGUCAAAUCAUCAUGCCCCUUAUGACCUGGGCUACACACGUGCUACAAUGGCGUAUACAACGAGUUGCCAACCCGCGAGGGUGAGCUAAUCUCUUAAAGUACGUCUCAGUUCGGAUUGUAGGCUGCAACUCGCCUACAUGAAGUCGGAAUCGCUAGUAAUCGCGGAUCAGCACGCCGCGGUGAAUACGUUCCCGGGUCUUGUACACACCGCCCGUCACACCAUGAGAGUUUGUAACACCCAAAGCCGGUGGG
rnacentral:rRNA from 1 species